GGUCAGGUAACCUAGCGGCUCAGGCAGCCCAUGCGGUUUGGGUCCCGAUCCAUUGGAUCUGGUCGCUGGUUCAAAUCCAGUCCCGACCA